UGCUGGCACGCCCCUUCUCGAAACCACGCGAUCCGCAAUGAUGUAGUCCACAUCUUUGUCGAAUGCGGUGACAACGGCGGUUGGUGCAUGCCUCGAUUUUCCGCGACUCGGGUCUCCCAUGUCUUUGUGAUAGGUUUUGAGAAGACUCACGUGGAAGACCGGAUGGAUCUUGAGUCUUGGCGGCAGUUGGAGUUGAUACGAGACGUUCACGUCGAAUAACUUGGAAGGGUCCCUCAUAGCGUCUCACUAACCCCCUGUGGACUUUCCGUAAUAUCUUGAAUUGUUGGGGUAGGAGCUUGAUCAUGACUUGGUCACCUUCCUUGUACUCAACGUGUCGCCUCCUUGUAUCCACCCAUUUCUUCAUUUUUCCUGCGGCUUUGUCGAGGUUGGCUCGCGUGAUGUCCGCUUCCUCAUGUUCGGGUGGCGCCAUGCGGUAGGGCGCCAAGGCUGGUGGCUUCGCGCCUCGUUUCAGCUCGAUCGGAUGAUCUACCUCUCGUCGAGGUGGGAGCUUCUUCGGAAGUUCUGGUGACAUCACAUCCUUGCACUCAUUUAAGGAUGGCUUGAAUUCGUGGAGGGACUUGGCUUGGCGACAUUCCACUAUUUCCUUCCUCGUUUAGUUCCCGAUUGAAGACCAAGAAGCUUAGGUCCUCCUUGAACUGCAUGGCGGAGAGUGUCUUCUCCUCGGGCUAGCUGCCAAGGUAGGAGCUUCUUCGGAAGUUCUGGCGUCAUCACAUCCUUGCACUCAUUAAGGAUGGCUUGAAUUUGUGGAGGGACUUGGCUUGGCGACAUUCCGCUAUUUCCUUCCUCGUUUAGUUCCCGAUUGGAGACCAAGAAGCUUGGGUCCUUCUUGAAAGCCUUCUUGAAUUGCAUGGCGGAGAGUGUCUUCUCCU
rnacentral:lncRNA from 1 species